rnacentral:tRNA from 1 species
CUUCCCUUAGCUCAUCCGGAUAGAGCGUCAGAUUCCGAUUCUGAAGGCGGCAGGUUCGAGUCCUGCAGGGAAGGCCA